rnacentral:rRNA from 1 species
UUAAGUUACUAAGGGCAUAUCGUGGAUGCCUUGGAACUAUUAGGCGAUGAAGGACGUGGCUACCUGCGAAAAGCCCCGGCAAGAUGGUAACAAUCUUAGACCCGGGGAUCUCCGAAUCGGACAACCGAAUCAGGGUAAUGCCUGAUUAUCACCUGCUGAAUCAAAUAGGCAGGUAGAAGCAAACGCAGGGAAGUGAAACAUCUCAGUACCUGCUGGAAAAGAAAACAAUGUGAUUUCCUGAGUAGCGGCGAGCGAAACGGAAACAGCCUAAACCUUUAAGCGUGUCAAGACUGCAAUCGUUGCGCUUUAGGUGUUGUGGGACUUUCAGACAGACUUGCAGUAUGUCAGAGAGUUACAAAGUUUAUUCUUAACUGAAGGGCUUGGAAAGGCCCACCAUAGAAGGUGAAAGUCCUGUAAGUGAAAAGAUUAAACCUCUCGAAAGUAUCCCGAGUACCGCGGAACACGUGAGAUUUUGCGGGAAUCCGCCAGAACCAUCUGGUAAGGCUAAAUACUCAAUAGUUACCGAUAGUGAACAAGUACCGUGAGGGAAAGGUGAAAAGUACUCCUAACAGGAGGGUGAAAUAGUACCUGAAACGAUAUGCUUACAAACGGUAGGAGUCCCUAGCAAUAGGGAUGACUGCGUGCCUUUUGUUUAAUGAGCCAACGAGUUACUCGUAUGAUGCAGGCUAAACCUUUAAGAGGUGUAACCACAGCGAAAGCAAGUCCGAAACGGGCGAUUUAGUAUCAUGCGGUAGACGCGAAACCGGGUGAUCUACUCUUGACCAGGAUGAAGUAUCGGUAAUACGAUAUGGAGGUCCGAACCAGUGUGGGUUGAAAACCGCUUGGAUGAGUUGAGAGUAGGAGCGAAAGACCAAUCAAACUCGGUGAUAGCUCGUACUCCUCGAAAUAGCUUUAGGGCUAGCCUUAGGUAAUAGUUUGUCGGAGGUAGAGCACUAAUUGGGCUAGGGCUGUCACAACGGUACCAAACCCAGAUAAACUCCGAAUUCCGAUCAAAUGUUUCCUAGGAGUCAGGCAGUGGGGGAUAAGCUUCAUUGCCAAAAGGGGAAUAACCCAGACCACCAUUUAAGGCCCCCAAGUUUACGUUAACAGACUAAGGAUGUUGAGUUGCUAUGACAACUAGGAUGUUGGCUUAGAAGCAGCCAUUCAUUUAAAGAGUGCGUAAUAGCUCACUAGUCAAGCGACUUAGCGCCGAUAAUACACGGGACUAAACGUAACGCCGAAAUUGUGGAUUUCGUAAGAAGUGGUAGAGGAGCAUUCCAUCGACGACUGCAGUUAUGCAGGGGCUUCGGCUCGAAGGUGCAGGGCGACCUGUGCUGGAGUUUAUGGAAAAGCAGAUGUUGGCAUAAGUAACGAUAAUCUUGAUGAAAAAUCAAGACACCGAAAAUCCAAGGUUUCCUGAGCAAUGUUAAUCAUCUCAGGGUUAGUCGGACCCUAAGCCGAGGCCGAGAGGCGUAGGUAAUGGGAAACAGGUUGAAUAUUCCUGUACCGUCGAAAUUUAAGCAUAGGGGACACAGAAGUGAAAGGAGAGCCACCUGAUGGAUGGUGGUUUAACGGCGUACCUGCGGGCAACCGCAGCGAAACCGGAACAGGAGGGCGCAAGCCCACAAACUCUCCCUAAUCAGGCUGUCAAGAAAAGCCUAUGUGUAUACUAAGACGUCCGUACCGUAAACCGACACAGGUAGAUGAGGAGAGUAUCCUAAGGUGCUCGAGUGAGCCGUGGUCAAGGAACUCGGCAAAUUGACCCCGUAACUUCGGGAUAAGGGGUGCCCGCUUCGGCGGGCCGCAGAGAAAUGGGCCAAGCAACUGUUUAACAAAAACACAUGUCUAUGCUAAGACUUUAAGUCGACGUAUAUGGACUGACACCUGCCCGGUGCUGGAAGGUUAAGAGGAGAGGUUAGCGCAAGCGAAGCUUUGAAUCGAAGCCCCAGUAAACGGCGGCCGUAACUAUAACGGUCCUAAGGUAGCGAAAUUCCUUGUCGGGUAAGUUCCGACCUGCACGAAUGGUGUAACGAUUUGGGCACUGUCUCGACCACGGCCUCGGUGAAAUUGUGGUACCGGUGAAGACGCCGGUUACCCGCAUAUGGACGGAAAGACCCCGUGCACCUUUACUGCACCCUAGCAUUGGGUUUGGAUAAAUUAUGUGUAGAAUAGGUGGGAGACUUUGAAGCGGUGGCGCUAGUCAUCGUGGAGUCGCAAUGUGAAAUACCACCCUUAAUUUCUUCGAAUUCUAACCCGGAUCCUUGAAUCAGGAUUGGGGACAGUGUUAGGCGGGUAGUUUGACUGGGGCGGUCGCCUCCUAAAAUGUAACGGAGGCU